rnacentral:rRNA from 1 species
UGGGGGAAACCCUGACGCAGCAACGCCGCGUGAGUGAUGAAGGCUUUCGGGUCGUAAAGCUCUGUCAAGUGGGAAGAACAUGCUCGAUGUUAAUACCAUCGUGCACUGACGGUACCACUGAAGGAAGCACCGGCUAACUCCGUGCCAGCAGCCGCGGUAAUACGGGGGGUGCAAGCGUUAUUCGGAAUUAUUGGGCGUAAAGGGCGCGCAGGCGGUCUCUUAAGUCAGAUGUGAAAGCCCGGGGCUCAACCCCGGAAGUGCAUUUGAAACUAAGGGACUUGAGUAUGGGAGAGGGAAGUGGAAUUCCUGGUGUAGAGGUGAAAUUCGUAGAUAUCAGGAGGAACACCGGUGGCGAAGGCGACUUCCUGGACCAAUACUGACGCUGAGGCGCGAAGGCGUGGGGAGCAAACAGGAUUAGAUACCC